rnacentral:rRNA from 1 species
AACGAACGCUGGCGGCGCGUCUUAAGCAUGCAAGUCGGACGGCAAGGGUAGCAAUACCCCUAGAGUGGCGGACUGGUGAGUAACGCGUGGGUGACCUACCCUUGAGAUGGGGAUAGACAUUAGAAAUAGUGGAUAAUACCGAAUACGCUCACGACCCUGUGGGGAUGUGAGGAAAUCAGGAUACGGCCUGGCUCGAGGAUGGGCCCGCGUCCCAUUAGCUAGUUGGUGAGGUAAAAGCCCACCAAGGCGACGAUGGGUAUACGGCCUGAGAGGGUGUACGGACACAUUGGGACUGAGAUACGGCCCAAACUCCUACGGGAGGCAGCAGCUAAGAAUAUUCCGCAAUGGACGAAAGUCUGACGGAGCGACGCCGCGUGGAUGAAGAAGGCCGAAAGGUUGUAAAAUCCUUUUGCUGAUGAAGAAUAAGUGUGGUAGGGAAUGACCGCAUGAUGACAUUAGUCGGUGAAUAAGCCCCGGCUAACUACGUGCCAGCAGCCGCGGUAA